rnacentral:rRNA from 1 species
UACAGAGGGUGCAAGCGUUAAUCGGAAUUACUGGGCGUAAAGCGUGCGUAGACGGUUAUUUAAGUCAGGUGUGAAAGCCCCGGGCUCAACCUGGGAAUUGCAUUUGAGACUGAAUAGCUAGGGUGCGGAAGAGGGAAGCGGAAUUUCCGGUGUAGCGGUGAAGUGCGUAGAUAUCGGAAGGAACACCAGUGGCGAAAGCGGCUCCUGGUCCAGCACCGACGUCAGGCACGAAAGCGUGGGGAGCAAACAGG